rnacentral:piRNA from 1 species
UUUAGGAAUUUUUGAUUGUUUAAUUUAAAUAAUGUUUUUAUAAAUAUUUGUGUGAAGUUACUAGUAUAUUUUUGCUUGAUAUCUAAAAUUUUAUCAAAUUGUACAAAACCUAUUUUGUUAAUGGUUUUACCUCUGUGUUGUGUGUGUGUUUUGAUGGUUUUUUUUUGUAUAUGCAGCUGAUUUCAUAAAUAGAUUUUUCAUGUUGAGGUGUUGCGUAAGUGUGGUUAAGUUCAUCAUUUAAUCCAUAAGGGUAAAGUGUGUUGUGUUCUAAUAUGUUUUUGUUUUCUAGUAGUAAUCUUUGUUUUUUGUUCUGACAUAUAUUUAGUAUUUCAAUGUUGUGAUUGUUGAAUGUGUGUGUGUUGUUGUGGUGUUUCAUAUAAGUGUUGCCUAUUGAAUUUUUUGAAUGAUAUCUAUGUAAGUUUAUUCUAAUGUUUAAUGGAUUGCAUGUUUGACCUAUAUAACUUAAAUUACAUAUGUUACAUGUUAUUUUAUAAAUAGUGUUUUCCACUUUACAACUAGGUGUUUGAAAGUUAUCAUGGUUCUUAAAGUUGGGGCAAGUUAGACAUUUCUUAUUCGUACAUUUGUUAGCGAUUUUAAUACGCAUUAAGAGGGGUGCUAACCCAAUUAAUGGUUAGGUUUUUAUUAUUUAUGUUGAAAAAUAAAAGUAAAAACCUAUAAAAGUUAUCGUUGGAUAACUUUUAUUCUUACAACAACGAGUUCCAUCAACUCUAAUAUUUUUUUACAAUUUUGAACCCUAAAUGUAUGAUUUUGAAGUUUACGUAUUAUAGGGAAUGUAUAGAUAUAUUAGUUUAUAUAUAUAUGUAUAUAUAUAUAUAUAUAUAUAUAUAUAAAAGUCAAUUCCUGUCUGUCUGUCUGUUUCGCGAUAAACUCAAAAACUACUGAACGAAUUGGUUCCAAAUUUUGCAUGUCGCUUUUUAUAAACCUGAGGAAAAUUUUUGGCUACAUUUUGCUUAUUAUUUUUGGCUAUUUCUUUUUUUAAUUUGAAGAACUAUUUUUUUACGCGGACUAAUCCGGAAUGGAAUGAAUACCUAAAUAUGGCCUUUUUUUUUUAAAGCAUCGGUGGCUUAGUGGUAGAAUGCUCGCCUGCCACGCGGGCGGCCCGGGUUCGAUUCCCGGCCGAUGCAUUUUUUUUUUUACAAUUUUUAAAACUAAUUUAUAAAAAAUAUAAUAUAAAUAUAUACUAUUAUAUCAACUAUAUGAAUUAAAUCAAAUACCUAAACACUAAUCUCUAUAUAUAUAAAAGUCAAUUUCUGUCUGUCUGUCUGUUUCGCGAUAAACUCAAAAACUACUGAACCAAUUCGUACCAAAUUUUGCAUGUCGCUUUUUAUAAACCUGAGGAAAAUUUUUGGAUACAAUUUGCUUAGUAUUUUUGGCUAUUUCUUUUUUUCAUUUGAAGAACUUUUUUUUUUACGCGGAGUAAUCCGGAAUGGAAUGAAUACCCAAAUAUGGCCAUUUUGUAUACGCAUCGGUGGCUCAGUGGUAGAAUGCUCGCCUGCAACGCGGGCGGCCCGGGUUCGAUUCCCGGCCGAUGCAUUUUUUUAAAACAAUUUUUAAAACUCAUUUAUAUUAUAUCUUCUAUAUAUAUAUAAAUGAAUGUUUGUAUGUUUGUUUGUUUGUUUGUUGGUUUGUAUGUCCGGUAUACAAAUUCACAGUAGUUCACUAAUUCAAACCAAAAUUUCCAUACAUAGGUAAAAAAAUACGAGGAAAACGAUAGGCUAUUUUAAAUUAUAUAUAAAUUAAAUAUUAAAACUAUAUAUUCAAAUUAUUCUACUUAGCUCACGAACAGUGCCCUCUAUCAAGGUUAUAAAUACGUUUAAAAUUGAAAUCUUCUCAAAAUUUUAUUAAUAAUAUUUCGCUUAAUAAUUAGAAUACUUGAUCUAAAUCGAAAUAUUUAUAGACGCUCGCUCGAUUUGAAGAUUUAUAUCGUAACUAAUCUGACUGUAAAGUUUGGAGCGGGACGUUUCACAAGAGUGACAUCCACGGCGCCAAUUUAUAAUUGUGUAACGAAUAGUGUUUGAAUAAACAUUUAAUCGGGUAAACCCGGGCGUUGCCCGGGUCAUUCGUCUAGUUAUAUAUAAAAAUAUAUUAUAUAUAUAUAUAUAUAUAAAUUUUUAUUUUGUAUUUUUAUGUUAGUGAACAGAUAUCCUUGUAAAAUUAUUAUUGAAUGGUUUUAGUUGUGCGCAUGGGUCAGUUUUACAAAAUGACUAUGGAGAAGAGACUGGAUCCAGCAGUUUACCGCUAUGCCCUCGCCCUCCUGUCUGACUCCCUGAUCACUGGAGGAAGAAGGAUCCUGUUGGACCGCGGACUGAUCCGAUGGAUCCAUGGUCUACUCUGGAUCUGCUGUUUCUCCUACCUGGCAUAUCAGACUUCUGUCUACAUCAGUAUCUACCUCACCUAUCCAGUCACCCUGUCUGUCACUUUGGAGUAUCCUGAAAGCGUAGAAAUGCCUGCAACUACAGUCUGUACUGGACAAAGGUACUGGUGAUAUUAACUUUGUCUCUUUUUAUUCUUUUAUUUUUUAAUAAGUAUAAAUAUAUCAUUUAUUUACUUUUGAAAUUCCAAAAGGUUUAACCUACUAAUAAAUAAAAAAUUGAAAUAUCGCGUGAGAACGCCCUUGCAGCCUUAGAAUAAUUGUUAACGCUUUGUUAAAUGCUUUAAUUUUUGUUCGCUCCUUACGAGCACAAAAUAAUUUUGUCGAAAGGUAGAGAUAACAAAAAGGUUUAUUGGCCGAAGUAUCUUUAAUUUCAAGAGCUAUGAAUGCCGACCAGGCUGUCUCUAUCUUUACUAUAUACUAAUAAAGAGUGCAAAAAAUUUAUCAAUUUUUAUAAAGCCUUUAUUUAUGUGUAUUUUGUAAUUUGCUAAUAUUCUAAAUAAGGUAUCUUUUCUAUAAAAAAUAUAUUCUAUAACAAAAAAAUCGACGCACCAAGAAGGAGUUGUCAGAUUAGGACAAAAAUUGGUGUAUGUAAAGAGCAUGUAUAGGGAAAAAAAACGAUUGAAAUUUCAGAACAAUUACUUGUUUUAUUUCAGAGUUUGAUCGUCACAAAUUGAGAAUGUCAAUAUGUCGUUGGACCCCCACUGGCCUGGAUGCAGGCUGCCACCCGGCGUGUCAUGGACUGAUAAAGAUUCCGGAUGGUGUGCUGCGGGAUUUCUUGCCAAAUUGUCUCCAAUUGUCGGGCUAAAUAGUCAACAUUCUGGGAUGGUUUCAAUCGCCUUCCCAUCACGUCCCAGAUGUGCUCUAUGGGCGAGAGAUCAGGCGACCUUGCUGGCCACGGAAGAGUUCGGCAAGAUUGAAGACAAUCCAUAGUAACAUGUGCCGUGUGUGGCCGGGCAUUAUCUUUUUGAAAAGUAAGCCCGGGGUUAUGUGAGAGGAACGGCAACAAAACAGGCCGUAGAAUGUCAUCUACGUAGCGUUGUUCUGUCAGGGUGCCAGGAAUGACUACCAAUGGGGUCUUUCUAUCAAAUGAAAUGUCACCCCAGACCAUAACGCCCUGUUGUGGACCUGUGUGGUGUUCGACAGUAAGGCCAAGGUCCACACGCUGCCCAAGACGUCUCCAGACACGUUUGCGACGGUUAUCAGGACACAAUAAGAAACGGGACUCGUCACUAAAGACUAUACGUCCCCAGUCAGCGCAGUUCCAAAUUGAUUGCUCCCGACACCACUGUAGUCGGACUUGUCGGUGCACGGGUGUGAGGGGAAGGCAUCGUAACGGUCGGCGAGCUCUUAGAUUUCGCUCUCUCAGUCGCCUGUUGAUGGUCAUUUUGGACACUUGUGUGACGGUCACACGUUGGAUGGUAGAUAACGUGGAUUCCAGUGCUGCGACAGCCAUUCUGACAAUUGCUCUGUCCUCCCGUUCUGUUGUUGCCCUUGGUCGACCGCUGCCGUCCUGACGUUGCAUGCUUCCGUUGUUGACCCACUUUUGCCAACAUCGCCUAAUAGCCGCAUCACUUCGACACAGAUGUCGCGCGAUUAGUCGAUUAGACCAACCAGCCUCUUUCAAUUCAAUGGCACGAUCAGUUUCAAACUCUGACAUAUGUUCGUAAUGAGCACGAAUCUUUCGGCGAGGCAUUGAUACAGUAGAAAUAGGCGUACUGCUAAAAUAUUGAACGGAAAUUCUGAAAAUCAUCUCGUACCGGGCCGAAUAAUGAGUAUAUAAUGCUCGUGCUGGAUACGAAGUUCAGAUGCGCUGGAGCUCUUGCUUUGCAUAUAUCAGCCACCAAAUUUCAAUCAUUUGCAUGUUUGGUCGAAACCUCUUUGUAUACGUAUUUUCAUAUAAAUCGGACAACUGCUUCUUGGUGCGUCGAUUUUUUUGUUAUACAGUGUAUUAGACAACUACACUAACAAUAACUAUUAUUUAUUGUCGUAAAAUGUUAUAGGUAAUUUGUAAAUGAUCUAAUAUAUAUAUAUACCUUUAAAAUCAACGCAAUCUCUAUACUUUGAUGCUGUAAGCAAAUAAAAACACAAUUUAUGUAUUCCAGCAUUGACCGAGAGAAGUUCUGUGCUGCCAAUAAACUUCACUGUUUUGAAAAUGGAGUAAGUUAAUGGUUUCAUAUUCUAACCAUAUUAUUUCAAAUUUUAUAUUUUCUAAUAGAUUUCUUCUCUAUAUAAGCUCGUAGGGUAUAUUGGGCAAGUUCUCAUGAAAUUUGCAACAUUGAAUAUUUCUAUAAAUUCUGGAAUUAUCAUAUUUCAGGCUUAAUGGUACACAUUCCAAUUGGGAACCUAAAUUGAUUGUUUAAGACUUUUAACAUAAUACUCGGAGCUUUAAAGGUCACAAUAUUCAAUUUUCGAUGAAAUACGUUUGAUAUUAAGAAUAAUUUUGUUCUGGUGUCUAUUAGAACUCUCACUUUGAGGCCAUUUAUUAUUAUAAAAAGAGAAUCGGAAUAUAAUUUGGCUUAUGUCGUUGUAGGGCUUUCGUUUUUGGCGACCUCACCUCUCUUGUAGGUCGCACCUCUUAGUUUUCCUAGUCCAUAGGCCUAGGAGAGCGGCUGGAGAACCUGAUGGGCGACUGUAAUUGGCAUCCUUUAUUUUCAACUUUUCCCGACCAAGGUGUAGUGAUGGACCUCUGGGAUAAUUGCGUCGUUUGCUAAAGUUUUUUUUCAACUUCAGAGUUCUUUAUGUUCCUAGAGGGGUAACGAUUGUGUUUAUUAUAGUAAGUUCGAUUAUUAUUGAAAUAUUAGGCUGAGUAUAUUGUAUUGGUUUACUGAGUUCAUUUUUGAUAAUAAAAACAAUAAAUAGAACGAAAAAAUGGUGUGAGCGUAAUUUAAAAUAGCAUGUGUUGUUUUAGACCGUCCAUCCUGACUACCAACAUUUCACAAGAACUGCUUCAAGAGAAGACUUCCACAGAUAUAAGAAUGAGCUGGACAAUUAUUAUACUGUUUCUACUUGUGGAGGAAUCUCAGAUUGUUUGGAGUAACUAUCUUCUUCAUUCUUAAUUUCUACCAACUAUUUGAAUAUGUCAGGUCUGUGUGGAUAUUGAGCUUCAUAAUUACAAUGUUUGAAAAAUCUUUCUACUUUAAUUUUUUAAAUAUUAGUAGCACUCUUUAGAGAGAGAGAGAGAGAGAGAGAGAGAGAGAGAGAGAGAGAGAGUGGUAGUAUUCAAUAUAAAAUUGCUGCCUCUCGAAAUAAAGAACUAACCCUAUACCCAACGCUUCUUAAGGUCGUGUUCGCUAAAAAAGGGUUCGCCAAACUGGAAUGAUUUUCAAAAUUCGCACCUGCAAAAUGACGAGCUCGAAAUAGACGCGUAAUAGUUGUCAUUAAAGAUGGGCAAUGGGUGAACUGGUGGUUAAACUCGGAGGCCAUUUUUAAUACUACAAAAAUAUUUUUAAAAUAUAUAAAAUUAUAAAAUAAAAAAGAGUCCAACGCAGGAUUUGAACCCGCGUCUU